rnacentral:rRNA from 1 species
UCGCUCUUCAACGAGGAAUCCCUAGUAAGCGUGAGUCAUCAGCUCACGUUGAUUACGUCCCUGCCCUUUGUACACACCGCCCGUCGCUACUACCGAUUGAAUGGCUUAGUGAGACUCUCGGAUUGGGUUUGAGGAACCGGUAACGGUCCCUCUUCUCUGAGAAGUUUGUCAAACUUGGUCAUUUAGAGGAAGUAAAAGUCGUAACAAGGUUUCCGUAGGUGAACCUGCGGAAGGAUCAUUAGAAAUUUUUAUUAUAUGUAUUCAAAAUUUCAAUCUUUAUAAAAAUUUUAUUUUUAUCUAAAAAAAUAAUAUAAAGACAACUUUCAACAACGGAUCUCUUGGCUCUUGCAUCGAUGAAGAACGCAGCGAAAUGCGAUAAGUAAUGUGAAUUGCAGAAUUCCGUGAAUCAUCAAAUCUUUGAACGCAAAUUGCACUCUUUGGUAUUCCGAAGAGUAUGCUUGCUUGAGGGUUGUUUUAAUAAUCAUCGUUUUUUUUUUUAAUUAAAAAAAAAAACGGAUCUGAGUGUUCCAAGGUUUUAUUAUUUAUAACUUUGGUAACUUGAAAUUAAUCUUAACGAUAUUUUGGUAUGAUAUUGGAAAUGUUUUAUCUUACAUUUUGUAAGUUUCAUUAACAAUCGAUUACUAUCGUUAAUAGCGUAUUAUUUAUUUGAUUCUUUAUAAUUGAAUAUUAUAAUACAAUCUUUUUUUUCAAACCUCAAGUCAAGUAAGAUUACCCGCUGAACUUAAGCAUAUCAAUAAGCGGAGGAAAAGAAACUAACAAGGAUUCCCUCAGUAACGGCGAGUGAAGCGGGAAAAGCUCAAAUUUAAAAUCUGAGAUUCCAAUUUUGCGAGUCUCCGAAUUGUAGUUUAGAGAAGCGUUUUCGGCGAUGACCUGGAUCAAAGUCUCUUGGAAUGGAGCAUCCUAGAGGGUGAGAAUCCCGUUUAUGGUCCAGUGUGGGGAGACAGCAUCGCUAUAUGUAAGCGUUUCGACGAGUCGGGUUCUUUGGGAUUAGAGCUCAAAAUGGGUGGUAAAUUUCAUCUAAAGCUAAAUAUGGGCGAGAGACCGAUAGCGAACAAGUAGCGUGAGCGACAGUUGAAAAGAACUUUGAAAAGAGAAGUUAAAUAGUACGUGAAAUUGUUAAAAGGGAAGCAUUUGGAAUCAGUGUUGCUGGUUAGGUAGAAAAUCAGUUUCUUUUCCAGGAUCCCUGUGCUUAAAUGAGUUGCAUUUUAAACCUUUUUUGUGCAGUGUUUAUCUUGGAAAAGGGAUGUACUUUUCUAUUCUAACAUACGGUCAACAUCAGUUUUUUCUGCCGGAUAAAGGUCUUGAGGAAGGUAGAUCAUUUUCUCACGAAAAAGAUUGUUAUAGCCUCGAGAAUCAUAUACGGUGGAGAAGACUGAGGAACUUAAACUAUGUGCCUUAGGCGAUAGCUAUGCGGCCUUAGGAGGGUGAAGAUAUUAAGCUAUCUGAUAGAUUAAUGUCUUUUGCCUUUUUAUGAACUGUAUAGUUAUUAACAUAGUUCAAGAUGUUGACAAAAUGGUUUUAAAUGACCCGUCUUGAAACACGGACCAAGGAGUCUAACAUGUAUGCGAGUGUU